rnacentral:tRNA from 1 species
UGGGGUAUAGCCAAGCGGUAAGGCACCGGUUUUUGGUCCCGGCAUCCCUGGUUCGAAUCCAGGUACCCCAGCCA